GUAGGUGGCAAGCGUUGUCCGGAAUUAUUGGGCGUAAAGCGCGCGCAGGCGGUUCUUUAAGUCUGAUGUGAAAGCCCACGGCUCAACCGUGGAGGGUCAUUGGAAACUGGAGAACUUGAGUACAGAAGAGGGAAGCGGAAUUCCACGUGUAGCGGUGAAAUGCGUAGAGAUGUGGAGGAACACCAGUGGCGAAGGCGGCUUUCUGGUCUGUAACUGACGCUGAGGCGCGAAAGCGUGGGGAGCAAACAGGAUUAGAUACCCUGGUAGUCCACGCCGUAAACGAUGAGUGCUAAGUGUUAGGGGGUUUCCGCCCCCCUUAGUGCUGCAGCUAACGCAUUAAGCACUCCGCCUGGGAGUACGGCCGCAAGGCUG
rnacentral:rRNA from 1 species